CAACCUCAACUCAUAUGGGACUACCCCCUGAAUUUAAGCAUAUUAAUUAGGGGAGGAAAAGAAACUAACAAGGAUUUUCUUAGUAGCGGCGAGCGAAAAGAAAUCAGUUCAGCACUAAGUCACUUUGUCUAUAUGGCAAAUGUGAGAUGCAGUGUACGGAACAUCAACAUUCUAGUAUGAGAAGUUAACGAUUUAAGUCCUUCUUAAAUGAGGCCAUUUACCCAUAGAGGGUGCCAGGCCCGUAUAACGUUAAUGAUUACUAGAUGGUGUUUCCAAAGAGUCGUGUUGCUUGAUAGUGCAGCACUAAGUGGGUGGUAAACUCCAUCUAAAACUAAAUAUAAACAUGAGACCGAUAGUAAACAAGUACCGUGAGGGAAAGUUGAAAAGAACUCUGAAUAGAGAGUUAAAUAGUACGUGAAACUGCUUAGAGGUUAAGCCCGAUGAACCUGAAUAUCCGUUAUGGAAAAUUCAUCAUUAGAAUUGUAAUAUUUUAAACAAUAUUAUAAUAAUAGUGUGCAUUUUUUCCAUAUAAGGACAUUGUAAUCUAUUAGCAUAAAUAUUUAUCAUAAAAUUAUGUCUGAUUGCUUAUUUGAAUUAUAUGCUUGGCAUUUUAACAUAAAAUAAAAGAUAUAAAUUUGAUAAAGUGCUGAUAGAUUUAUAUGAUUACAGUGCGUUAAUUUUUCGGAAUUAUAUAAUGGCAUAAUUAUCAUUGAUAUUUGUGUUUAUUAUAUGCAUUUGUAUGAUUAACAAUGCGAAAGAUUCAGGAUACCUUCGGGACCCGUCUUGAAACACAGACCAAGGAGUCUAACAUAUGUGCUAGUUAUCGGGAUAUAAACCUAAUAGCGUAAUUAACUUGACUAUUAUUGGGAUUAGUUUUUUAACUAUUUAUAGUUAAUUAACGCAUUUCCUGGGUGCGCUCUAGAUAGUUAUGAAUAAUAAUAUUUAUAUUAUUUAAUGCCUCUAAAUUGGAACGUACCUUGAGCAUAU
rnacentral:ncRNA from 1 species